ensembl:lncRNA
AAAAGCCGGAGCCACUACUAAAGCCAAACGCAGUACCAGAAUGGAAUGCGAUUCCAGAACGAAACGUGGGGUUGGAAUGAAAUGCAGAGCGCUCCUUUAUGCUCUAUUUACUGAAACGUCCUAUCGCUUCUCCUACAAUUACCACUUUAUGUGUAUUUCAUCAGAUCUCAGUGUAAACACUCUCCAAAGGCGCACUGUACCUUGGAACAGCUUCUUCAGCAUUACAGAAGAAAGACACCGCACAGAUUUUAGGCAGAGAUUUGGGACCGGAGACAAACGGCUGUGCUGCAGAGCAGCUGACCUCCAAGGGUUGACCUCCAAGAGCUGACCUCCAAGGGCUGACCUCACCAAGGGCUGACCUUCAAGGGCUGACUCCCAGGGGCUGACCUCCAAGGGCUGACCUCCAAGGGUUGACCUCCAAGAGCUGACCUCCAAGGGCUGACCUCCAAGGGUUGACCUCCAAGGGUUGACCUCCAAGGGCUGACCUCCAAGGGCUGACCCCCAAGAGCUGACCCCCAAGGGUUGACCUCCAAGGGCUGCUGCCACGUUCCUCCCACUACCUGCAGCAGCCCUGCUUAAUUACUGUUCCCUCGUUCUGCCCCGUGUGCCCCCAGCACACGGCAGCUCCCACUGGCAGACACCUGGCACUGCCCAGCAGCCCCGGUGGGUGCACGCCCCCAGCAUCCCAAGGCCUCACGGAUCUCCCGUGAGCCGCAUCCCACAUGGAAAUCCAUCCUCCAUCCUUGGCGACAGCCCUCAGCACGUGGGGCUCGCACCAGGACAGGCACUGUGGGCACCUAUACUGUGCCGCGUGCCACCAUGGCAUCCGUCACCCGGCAGUGGGAGACGGGCAGUGCAGCCCUACGCCUUGUCCCAAGGGCAUCCAUCACCCGGGGGGGGUGGCAGGGUGGUCCUGCACCUCAUCCCAAGAGCAUCCAUCACCCAAGGGGGGGAGUGGGUGCCAACGGCCGCAUCCCGCCCCAUCCCGCCCCGCCGCACCGCGCGGGGCCGCGUCGCAGGGUACUUACUGAGGACGGCAAACCCGGAGGAACCUUCCGAACUUUCUUCGUCUGAACUUCUGAGGAGACAGAGAGAACGGCGUCCUGGUCAAGGCCGGCGCGCCACCGGCACGGCUCCUGACGAGCCAACGGGCCGCCAG